rnacentral:rRNA from 1 species
UACGGGGGGGGCAAGCGUUGUUCGGAAUUACUGGGCGUAAAGGGCUCGUAGGCGGCCAACUAAGUCAGACGUGAAAUCCCUCGGCUUAACCGGGGAACUGCGUCUGAUACUGGAUGGCUUGAGAUUGGGAGAGGGAUGCGGAAUUCCAGGUGUAGCGGUGAAAUGCGUAGAUAUCUGGAGGAACACCGGUGGCGAAGGCGGCAUCCUGGACCAACACUGACGCUGAGGAGCGAAAGCUAGGGGAGCAAACGGGG